rnacentral:rRNA from 1 species
GGAGUUAGCCGGUGCUUCUUCUGCGAGUAACGUCACAGAUGUAAGGUAUUAACUUACACCCUUUCCUCCUCGCUGAAAGUGCUUUACAACCCGAAGGCCUUCUUCACACACACGGCAUGGCUGCAUCAGGGUUUCCCCCAUUGUGCAAUAUUCCCCACUGCUGCCUCCCGUAGGAGUCUGGGCCGUGUCUCAGUCCCAGUGUGGCUGAUCAUCCUCUCAGACCAGCUAGGGAUCGUCGCCUAGGUGAGCCUUUACCUCACCUACUAGCUAAUCCCACCUGGGCUUAUCCAUCAGCGCAAGGCCCGAAGGUCCCCUGCUUUCCCCCGUAGGGCGUAUGCGGUAUUAGCAGUCGUUUCCAACUGUUAUCCCCACAAAUGGGCAAAUUCCCAGGCAUUACUCACCCGUCCGCCGCUCGUCAUCUUCAAAAGCAAGCUUUUGAAAUGUUACCGCUCGACUUGCAUGUGUUAGGCCUGCCGCCAGCGUUCAAUCUGAGCCAGGAUCAAACUCUGA